ensembl:lncRNA
GUCCCAAGAGAGCUGGACAUGUUCCAGAACCUUCAGUUUGCUGUAGUUGAUCUGGAAACAAACUCAUUGUGGUGUGUGUGGCUCUGAGCUCUAAGAUAAAGGUGAAGGGUAACUCUGACAAGCAGAGCUCAUAUCACUUCUCGUCUGGCCCUGUUUUGCCUCACUUGUUGUAUCAAUUCCAGGGAGAAGAGAGGGCCCUGGGGCCAGCAGCAGGCAGAAUGCCAGUGGCCUGAAGGAGGAUGAAGGGACCAGCGUUCAGUCUAACAUCCUUUGACAAUAUGAAUAUCGUAUAAAUAUCACAUGCAAUAAAGGGUGUUUUCUAAACCUUCCUUGGAUAUAUUAAUAAAUUAUCUACCUAUGUUUCUAUGUAUCCAUCAUUUCUAUCUGUGCCUCUACUAGUUUGUGAACAAAGUUUCACAUAAGCACCAAAGACAUCCACCAGCCUUUUCCAGAAGCAGCAGUGCCCAAACUCCUGGGAUUGAUGAGGCUUCUGUAUGACUAUUUUUCCCAGGCUGGAAACCACAUCUCCCGUGAGAACAUGACUCAUUACACUGAGUUCAGAUAAAGUAAUUGGGAAAUGGCAGGUGGCUAUGGAAACCAUGUCUAAUGGGUCAUGUUUAAAAACACUGUGAAGAGUAACUUUAGAGGCAGGGAGUGGUGUGCAUGUUUCUUCAGGUCUGGCUUGGAAGUGGGACUUCACAAGGAACCACUAGAACAGAGGAGAAAUUUCUCAGUCUUGAAGCUGUCCAUGGAACGUGUUCCUCCUGAGAUGCCUAUCAAGGUUUUGAACUUGUCACCUCUGAACUUCAUCUCCACAUCACUGCUACCACUGGAACUAAAAGCUUCUAGGAGGUUCUUAUUUUGAUGCAUGAAAUUGUCCAUGGUCUUUAAGGUAAGGGAAGAAUAAUGUGUCUUCCUAAUCUGAAUAGAGGGCCAGAGUCAGGUUUUCAUAGGG